GAUGAACGCUGGCGGCGUGCCUAAUACAUGCAAGUCGAGCGAACAGACGAGGAGCUUGCUCCUCUGACGUUAGCGGCGGACGGGUGAGUAACACGUGGAUAACCUACCUAUAAGACUAGGAUAACUUCGGGAAACCGGAGCUAAUACCGGAUAACAUGUUGAACCGCAUGGUUCAACAGUGAAAGACGGUUUUGCUGUCACUUAUAGAUGGAUCCGCGUCGCAUUAGCUAGUUGGUAAGGUAACGGCUUACCAAGGCAACGAUGCGUAGCCGACCUGAGAGGGUGAUCGGCCACACUGGAACUGAGACACGGUCCAGACUCCUACGGGAGGCAGCAGUAGGGAAUCUUCCGCAAUGGGCGAAAGCCUGACGGAGCAACGCCGCGUGAGUGAAGAAGGUCUUCGGAUCGUAAAACUCUGUUAUUAGGGAAGAACAAAUGUGUAAGUAACUAUGCACGUCUUGACGGUACCUAAUCAGAAAGCCACGGCUAACUACGUG
rnacentral:rRNA from 1 species